GACGGAUGGGCUGGGACGGGUUUGGGGGGGGUGUCCCCAAUUCUGACUGGGAGUGGAGGAGCCCCCUCAUGUGCUCUCUUGUGGGGGUCCCCCCUCCCUAGGGCACUCCCCACUCCCUGAGCCAGCCGAGAGGAAGGAGGCCAGCGAUGCGACUGGGGCGGCUCCUUUCUCCUGCACCCCAAAUGUGAGGGAUGCACCCCAAAUUUUGUUCCCUUCAAAAUAGGGGACCAGGAUCUCAGGGGAGAGUAGCUGAGGGUUCUCGUUUUCCUGAAGCCUUGCAGCCACUUAGGGCAAAUGGAGCCUGAAGAGUGGAGUCCAACUGAGAGUGGGAAAGGCCCGUCUUCUACUUCUCUUCUGGGAGAGAUGUGUGAAUGUGGAAGGCUACCAGUUCUCGAGGGACUUUGUUGCUAACAAAACUAGCAACAAAGUAGGAAAGAUGUUGAGCUGGAAGGGAGUUUGAGGAAGAUGGAACAAUGGGUGUGGAGGAAGAAAGCUGCCCACCCGCCCUUUCUCUGCCAGCCAACCCUCCCUCACACUGUCCGUUCCUUGAUGACACAGCUGAUGUGAUUAAGAUCGUCCCCAAAUCGCUUCACAGCAGCCCUCAGCAUCUCUAUCUCCGUCUCCGUCCACUUGGCACUGUCAGAAGGGGAGAAGGGAAUAGCGAAAGUGGGAGGAAGAGGGGUGUGGAGCCAGCCCACAGGCUACGCAUUCCACAGCAACCAGCCUCCUCCCCGCAAGGCCUGGGGCCCCUUCCAUAAAGAGGUCUUCCUUAAAAAAACAAAAACAAAAGCAAAAAACAAAAUUCUUAAGGCGCCGU